UGGUCAUAGCAGCGGGGUCACACCUGUUCCCAUCCCGAACACAGAAGUUAAGCCUGCUCGCGCCGAUGGUACUGCAUGGGCAACUGUGUGGGAGAGUAGGUCGCCGCCAUCG
rnacentral:rRNA from 1 species